UUGGCUCGCCACAAGCAUUAAAUGACAGAAGAAGUAGAAGUGGUUAAGUUUUUAAGUAGGCUAAGUUAUGUCCUAAAUAGUGUCCCUUUUUCAAAUAUAUAAGAUGUACACAAUUGUAUCAUCCUUUGGGAACAAUCAACCAGUGAAGUUCCCUGACAGUGAGCAGUCUAUGCGACAUUACAUCACUAAAAUGGGGACUCAAAGGAGGACUACUGGACGUAGAGAGGCAUUUGGGAUAGACCCCAUAUUUGCAUUGGCCAGACAUGACAUCAUAACGACUGGUUGGCAGGUGUGUAUGUGUGUGUGUUAAGCAACACAUGGAUGGUGACCAGACCCUUUGAUUGUGUCCUGCUGGCUAACACACAGAUUCUCGGACAUGCUCGCACACUCUCUGAUCUGUAUGGCGGUUUAGAAGAGGACAGAUGAUUAUCCGCUGACCCCUGUGGACAGUCAUUUGACUCUUAAUGGAGAUCUCCCUGCUGAACGAUCCUGCAUUGCUGGUCACAGCAUAAUAUUUGUUUUGCACACUAGGACCAGUAUGGGAUGCUGGAUGCUGGUUUGCUGGUCCCCAGCAUGGGAAGCAGGUGUUCUGGUGGACCACCAUACCUUCUACUAUGUAGUCCUUUUAGAAUCAGUGACCGAGAGUUGGAUUUUUUACACAUGAGUUCUCAAACUAGCAUUACAGUCUUUAAAAACAGCGAUUUUCAAUUUUGAACUUUCAUUAUGAAAACUCUUUAUUAGCAAUAGCACUUCUCAUAACCCCCUGUUAUUGAACUAACAGUUUCUGAGCAUGCUGUUAUUUGAAUUUUUUGUGUUUUCAUACCUCUGAAGAUUUUAGUUUUAGUUGUACACAAGAGCUUUUAACUGAUUUGUGCACAGAUCCUUAGAAACGGAACACAAAUCUUUUGAAACAUUUGACUAGUUUGUGUUUUUACUUUUUUGUUCAAAACUAAAGAUAACAUUGAUUAAUAAUAUAAUUAUCAUUACUAAAACAAUUACAAUUUUCAGUUCUACUGUCAACAGAGGGAGCUAAAGUGAGCUAAUAUAACUUAUUUUAAUGAGAUAAUAAACUUAUUAGCUGACGGAAUUCAUGCUGGUUUAUGCUGGAUUUUUCAGCAGGGCUGUAUGACUAAAUUCCGCAAAUGAAGCUGUAAAAGGUUUUUAGAUUUCAAAACAGCAUUUUCAAGAAUUCUGUUUUGAGAUUAAAUAACAGAGAAUAACCAUUUCAAAAUACAGACACUUGUCUUUAUACCUUAUAGUGUGUGGUUUGGUAAUCAAUAACUUAAAAUGCACCAAGAAAUUAAAUAAAAUAAAUCCUU